rnacentral:rRNA from 1 species
GACGAACGCUGGCGGCGUGCCUAAUACAUGCAAGUUGAGCGAUGAAGCUUGGUGCUUGCACCAAUUUGAAGAGCAGCGAACGGGUGAGUAACGCGUGGGGAAUCUGCCUUUGAGCGGGGGACAACAUUUGGAAACGAAUGCUAAUACCGCAUAACAACUUUAAACAUAAGUUUUAAGUUUGAAAGAUGCAAUUGCAUCACUCAAAGAUGAUCCCGCGUUGUAUUAGCUAGUUGGUGAGGUAAAGGCUCACCAAGGCGAUGAUACAUAGCCGACCUGAGAGGGUGAUCGGCCACAUUGGGACUGAGACACGGCCCAAACUCCUACGGGAGGCAGCAGUAGGGAAUCUUCGGCAAUGGACGAAAGUCUGACCGAGCAACGCCGCGGGAGUGAAGAAGGUUUUCGGAUCGUAAAACUCUGUUGGUAGAGAAGAACGUUGGUGAGAGUGGAAAGCUCAUCAAGUGACGGUAACUACCCAGAAAGGGACGGCUAACUACGUG